rnacentral:rRNA from 1 species
GACGAACGCUGGCGGCGUGCCUAAUACAUGCAAGUAGAACGCACAGUUUAUACCGUAGCUUGCUACACCAUAGACUGUGAGUUGCGAACGGGUGAGUAACGCGUAGGUAACCUGCCUGGUAGCGGGGGAUAACUAUUGGAAACGAUAGCUAAUACCGCAUAAUAUUAAUUAUUGCAUGAUAAUUAAUUGAAAGGUGCAAUUGCACCACUACCAGAUGGACCUGCGUUGUAUUAGCUAGUAGGUGAGGCAACGGCUCGCCUAGGCGACGAUACAUAGCCGACCUGAGAGGGUGAUCGGCCACACUGGGACUGAGACACGGCCCAGACUCCUACGGGAGGCAGCAGUAGGGAAUCUUCGGCAAUGGACGAAAGUCUGACCGAGCAACGCCGCGUGAGUGAAGAAGGUUUUCGGAUCGUAAAGCUCUGUUGUAAGAGAAGAACGGGUGUGAGAGUGGAAAGUGCACACUGUGACGGUAUCUUACCAGAAAGGGACGGCUAACUACGU